UACGUAGGUGGCAAGCGUUGUCCGGAUUUACUGGGCGUAAAGAGCGCGCAGGCGGUCGUUCAAGUCGCGUGUGAAAGCCCCCGGCUCAACUGGGGAGGGUCACGCGAUACUGAUCGACUCGAAGGCAGGAGAGGGUAGUGGAAUUCCCGGUGUAGAGGUGAAAUUCGUAGAUAUUGGGAAGAACACCGGUGGCGAAGGCGGCUAUCUGGCCCGUAAUUGACGCUGAGGCGCGAAAGCGUGGGGAGCAAACAGG
rnacentral:rRNA from 1 species